CUUAAUUACUGUUUGUUUCAUUUUAGUGCGUGCCUUAUGAAUAAACCGGCUAUUAGGCUGAUGCUUCAAGUAACACUAUCCAGCACCCAGGUACAGAAUGUCUGUAUGGGGCUCUUGUGAUGCCGGUUCGGUAAUAAUUGCUGUUUUACAUUAACGCGGCUGGGUUUCUGUGGCUCGGUUCUUCAGCAUGUCGCUGAAAUGAUGGAGAUCCAUGUGACGAGGCUGCGUUGCAUCGCCUGUCUUGCUAUUUUUAUUCUGUCAGGAGCUCCCUUCUCUUUGGAGGUAGAGAAAGGGCUUAUGAAUUAAGGGUUUUUUUCCUGACUUACGUGCCUUAAUAUGCAUGCAUUUAAUGAUGCCUGAAUAAAGGAGCUGAUGUAUUUCAUCGUUAAUGUGAUAGUUAUUAAUGUACCAAAAUACAUUUCUGGUUAAGAAUUAGGAAAUAUAGCUUGUUGUCUAUUAAAUAUCAGAUGGUUGAAAGGGAAAAAGCAGCGGAGCUUCUGUUGCUAUUUGUUUUUAAUAUUCUUUUGUUUAUCUGUAUAGUAGCUGUCAAUGCAAUUUGAAUUACUUUAAAUUGUAAAAUAAAACCUGUGCUAUCAUUGACUGUUCAUAAAAGUUAAUUUGUACAGUGAAUUUUAGUGUGUAAGUGGUGUGCAUGGAAGCAGCAUUCUUGCAGACAGUGUAGGUCCAGUAAUUGAACUGUCACUGUUCAAUAGUGGUGAUUGGGUUUGUCGUCGUUUGUUGUUUUUUUUUGGGUUUUGUUGUUGUUUUCCAAGUAUCACUGCGUUAAAUUUUCUAUCCUGAUAGCAGUGUCCUGUGUUGCAGUUUCAAGCUUUUCCCCUGAAUCUUUAGCAUUAAAUUCAGUGCUUAUCACCUGUCUGACCAACUGUUCCUGUCCAGAGCACAGGCUACAAUUGCUCUUGUCAGCGUGCCACUGACUGCAUUGGCUUUCUGGUGGGUGAAUUACUCCUGCUCAUUUCCAUUUUCAUUUUUGCUUGUGCUGCUCAUGAACUGUGGCAACAUUACGGUUUGAUUAGAGUAACUAGUAUCACUAGGUGUGUGCUAUUAAUGUUAAGUGGUUAAACAGUAAAUUUUUAGAAACUGAAGCUAGCAUAGUUAAUUUGUGUGUAUAUGCCAGUGUAUACAUGUGUGUGUUUUUAGAAAAUGCGGCCUAUUAAGUGGGCUAGAGGAGAGACUAAAAUCACUCUGAAGACUGCAGGCAGCAGUGGUGCAUUAAUGUAGGUGCAGUCUGGAAAUAAAUACAAGAAUUACACAAUGAACAUGUGGUAGAGGAGAAGAGGUUAGAAGUCCUGUGGUACAUUUUAGUGACGUUCAUCUCAACUGUUUUUAAUAAGAUGUAUUAUAGUGUUGAAGUUAACUGCAUACGUUAGUCAAAAGGCUUCGCUGUUUGCACAGCUUGCUGUGACAAAUGCACCUUUUAGGAAGAGGUUAACAAGAGGCUCAGCAAGGGAUUAGUCCUACCCCUUCUUACCAAACAAUAUUUUAAAACUCUUUAUUUCAUAUGAUUGUGCUAGCUAGUUUUUAAAGAUGCUGCUGCUUUGUAGUAAGUGGCUAGUCUUCUGUGGUAGCUUAUUAAAUCACUGAUUAAAGAAUUUAAUACAUGAAAUUAAAUGCUAAACAGUAGAGCAGAGGAAAAGCAAAUGUGCAAUGUUAUGGUCUACUUCUGCACGCUUGUACAAAAUUUCCACUACAGUUAGAGGAGUUAACUGCCCUUCCUUGCAGGCUUGUUUUGGAUAAUCUUGCAUAAAUAAAUAAAUAAUGCUUUUGCAUUGGAAAGAAUAAACUUUGUAAUUUGUUUAUUUAAUAGAUACUUCCUUCCUGAAUGUGUUGUAUGCCUUCCUCAUCUUAUUUUUCAGUUAUUAUUUCUCAGGAAGUAGAAUAGUUGAAAAAAUGGGCUCCAUUAACACAAUCUUAAAUAAUAAAGUAAAUCACUUAAACGUUUUCUUAAAUAUUAUCUAUAAUUAUAGUAAUUUUCCAGUAUUUGCUGUUCUUCGCAGAGGUCCAACUAUUGAAAUCAAUACAUUUUAGGAUCAUCUGGGCCCCAAAUUAAAAACACUUCAUAGUUGAAAGUUUUUCAGUUGAGCAAUGUAGUAUGAAACAUGAAGCAGGAAAACCCUGAAAGCAGCUGAAGGAGAAGUAAAAAAUAAAUAUGUGAACAUGCUCCCACUUGAUUUCAAAACUGCAGUGCUUUUGAAAUCAUAAUUCUUUUGUAGGUCCUGACUUUUGUGUUCUGAACACUUGGGAUUAGCCAUGUUUCAACAGUAAGAUUACAUUAAUGAAUUCUUAGCCUUUUCUUGCAUUUAUCAGGCCAAAUUACGUGCUGCAUUGUGUAUGACAUCAUAUGUGUAAUACAAACUAAGGCCUGAGUAGUGGAACAUUUUUGGAGGUUCUUAUAAGCACAGAAGUCACGCACCAGUUUGCCAUCAGGACAUUCAUGUUUUUUAAAAAGAAAAAGAAUGGGUUUGCACUUAGUAAAUGACCUGUUUGCAGCAUGACCUUGUGAUUACCUGUAUGGUUGCAUGAUCUAGUGGAUGGCAUGCUUCCCCUGCCACUGGCUGUACUUGUUCCCUGAAAUAGCACUAGUGUGAUUCAUGUUUCUGGUGGCAUGUGUGAAAGUUUGAUUGAGAUGCAAAACGGAAAGAGUUCUUUUGAAUGUUUAAAAGGAGCUGCACUCAGAAAUGCAGAACUUGUUGUUAUAUUUGGCUCAAGCUUUAAAGGUUUUUGCGGAGCAAGAACGAUGGUGGCACAACGCUGGUGAGGGAGGUCUCAUCAAUGCAGAAAACCAGGCCUAGUAACUUACUGGUUUUUAGAAGUUCACGUGGUAAAAUGGUACUCAUGUGAGAGUUCUCAGUAUUACACUCAUCACGUAGCACUGCCUCAUCAUUGCAUUUUUACCAAUUCAGAAGGCAGUCAACGGUAGCUAAAAAUACGUAGAAAUUUCUGUAAGCAGGUGCCUUAGUUAAAUUUAUAGAGACAUAAAUGAAAAGGGAAGUAAUGUGAAUGUGUGGACAGACAUUACGUGUGACAAUUUCUGCAUUUCAUUUUAAUACAGGCUGCAAAACUUCUGGAAACCUCGGUAGUAAGCAAAAGAAAGACCAAUUAAACAAUGCUUUUGAAAUUGCCCACAUUGAUCAAAUACUCAAUAGCAGUGAAAAAACAUGAAUACCCACAGAUGCAUUUUUGAAGGAGAAAAUUCGUUGUUUAGCUGUAGUUGUCAGUCUGCCUCAUGGUGCAUUACUUAUUAGGGAUUGGGCCUUACGGACUAUAGAUAGGUGAGCAGCAUUGCAUUGAGUGCUGCUGGGUUGCCCAAUAAAAAGAAGUAUUCCUCUGUUCAGCUUAACUGAAAGAAAAAAAAUAUCUCAAACUUACUGCAUUAGUCACACAUAACUUUAAAAUUGCACUUAAAACAUUGAUUUUAAACUGUUUAACUAUAGUAAUGUCUAACAAAACGGAAAAAAAAAAUUGGGAGAAGCAGUUUUUGACAGUAUUUACAUAUAAAAGGCCUGUCAAAUAUAGCCAAGUAUCAGUUCCUGUUGCUUGCAGUAACGUGAUAGCAUUCAGAGCUCUUAGGGGAAUUUACGAUGCUCAUCUUCUCUAGAUAUUACAGGAAGGUUUGUGAGGCUGGGCUGCUACUCUUCUGGGUUUCAAACCUGAGCCUAAGAUCUAUCUCACCCAGAAUCUUGUUGCAAAGGAUAACUGAAGAUGCUUCCAUGGCACUUAGGACUUGGUUUAGUGGGCAUGGUAGCGAGGGGUUGAUGGUUGGAUUAGGUGAGCUUAGAGGUCUUUUCCUACUUUAACGAUUCUGUAAUUCUAAGUAGUGAAGUGAUUAUAUGAUUCUGUACCACCAGUUCUUGUUUUUUGUGGUUUCCAAAGGUACCAGGAUCACCAUAUUUAAGAGUGACUAAUGUGCAGAGCUGGGAGAGUCUGCCUCUGAGCCGAGAUACUCUUGAGAGAAGAGUGAACACAGUCUCCUAACCUUUCUAGCCCCUUAACAACAGGCAAAAAUGCAGUCUCUGGGUAUAAGGUGAAGUAGCAGUGUUAAAAUGUCUUACAUUGUCUUGUCCUUAUCUAGAUUGUGUGCUGUGUUGGGGAACUUCGCUGUAGGGAGAGAUCUCACCCUUCUCUUGAAACUCUCUUGCCUGUGUCAGAGAACAGUACAGAAGCUUGAAGAAUUUUUUCAGUCCUACUGAAGAAGGAAUAAGGAGAUGAAGGAAAAUGUGUGUGCAAGCAAGAGAGUGAAAAAAAAACUGAUAGUUUUAGGGUAAGCCCCACUCUGGCAGCCUCUCAGCAUUGAUAAGUAACUCUCAGUGGCCUCCACUUCAGGUCCAUCUCCUUGGGUACAGUUGAUGCAGACUUUGUUUUCAUCUUCAGCUGAUUUAGAAAUAAACAGUUUUGCACGUGUUCACACGAUUGGUAAUAUUAAGGCUUUAUAGUUUGCAGUAUUUUAUUUCAGUUUCUAAAAUGCAAACAAAUGUCAUAAGUCACGUGCUGCACUUGGGACUGCUUGUGUUGUGUUCUCCAGUGCAAACAGCAGUGGUGGGUAAGGUUUUGGUAUGGUUUAGUUUCUGAGAAUGAAACUUCUUCCUUUGUCAUUUCAUCCAUCAUCAGGUUGCCUUUAUGUUAAUUUACAAAGUGAAGAUAGAUUUAUUUUUCAGUGCUACAAGUCCAGAUGGAUUUAUAAGACAACGGAAGUGAAGUCUGACUGUAAGUGAACCCUUAGAAUAGUGUUUGACCUACCUACAUUUUAAUAAGUCUGGACUCAUUCUUCACUGUGUGUUUGGGAAAUUAAGUAAUGUGGGUGAUAGUUUUUCUUCAAGAGGUUUCCAAGCUGUUACAGAACCCCCAUUGCAUUCCCUUGGAAUUAGUUCUGCUUAGCACUUAGAAAAAUGGAGCCAUGUCCUUAAUCCAGGUGUAUGUGUCAUGUUUGCAGUGCUAUACAAAAAUGGCAGCAGAUAUUUGAUAGUGCAAGUUUCCUCAGUUUAAAUAUCGUUUCUGUCCUUUUGCCAAAAUGUGCUAACUAAGCCCUCAAAGAUGUUUUUACGAUAAAUUUUAUAAUUUUGGGUAGCUGCCUGGAGGCAAGUUCAUCUCAGGAUCCAUUUCUUUAUUUCUAGAAGAAAAUACAGAGACACUUGAUUUACUCUUUUAUUUUUCAUAUGUCGAAGAGUUCCUGACUAUAAAUAAUAGUCUGAUAGUUUCUGUCUGCAAGAGAACAUUAAGGUGCUGUGUAAUUACGCACAAAUUAACAUGUAAACAUCAAAAUAAAGGGUGAAAAAUUCAUUGCUCAUUACGUAGGAGUUCUCCAUGUGUGAUAUCGUACAUGUCUUUAAUUAUAUGAUCACACUUUUUAAUGCAGGAUCCUUCAGUUUGAGAUGCAUACUGCUCAGUGAAUUUAAGGAAAAGGGAGGGAAGUAAUGCAUCUGUAUCUACGUUAUAUUUAAAUGUUUAUCUGAGUAGAGAAUUUUUUGCUUUUCCUUACAGGCUUUUUCCAGUGUAAUCAUUGGGAAAAUAUCUGAAUGCUUCAUGUAUACGAAUGCAUUAACAACGUUGAGAGGUAGUAACAUUAUCAUCAGUGUUGACAAAGUUAAGGCACAGAGGGAUUCUCUGCAAGAAUGGCUGCUGAUUUGGGGUGUUCUUCACUUAAUCAAAGCAGAGUUUUAAUGGUUGUAAUUUACAGGUUAUUCAAGAGUGAAGACAGUUCAGCAAAGGAAGCAAUCACCAUGGCUUCAGAACAGUGUUUAAUUCAGCUGGACAGUGUCAGCUUGUCCAUACAUGCUGUGGUCCUGUCUGCAUUAUUAGGACUUUCCUAAUGGGGGAUUGUGGCGCUUAGAAACUGCAGUAAAGAAAACCAUUGGCAAGUUGCAGUUCCUGGGUAUAGAAGCCAGCAAAGCUGACCUCUGCAUCCCUGCAAGUGGCUCAUUGCUAGCUGGGGAGAAACUAGCAAUUUUCAAGCAAAUCAUUGAAGCAGCUUCUGUAUUCUUCAAUAUUGUUUCCACAGAAAGAGAGGAGAUGCAAAUUUCUGAAGGAUAAGUGGACAGGAUUUUAAAUGAUCUUUUAGGUAGUUCAACAGCCUAGUCUUUCCCUGCCUUGGUAGAUGACAAAACUUUACAUUGUUAUAUAUAUUACAUUAUAUGCUGUGCAGUCACCAGCCUUCCAAACAGUUGCCUUGAAGAUCGAAGCUCUCCAGAUUCGAAUGUCUCCAUUUGUGUUUUGAAAAAGGGUUGUCCUUGGCUAAUGAGAGUUGCCCCUCUGUGCAGUGCCCUUCAUCAUCAGAGUACUGCCCACUGCUUGUUGACCUCUUAAAAAGAAAGAAAAGCAAACCCGCCAACUGCAAAACUAAUUUUGAGUUAAUUUGUUGGUAAAGUGUGCUUAUCUUAAGUGUGAGGUAGGAAUAAAUGUCAUAAACUCAAACCUCAUUGCUUUAUAAAUGCAAAUGAAGCUAUUGGAAGUUGGGCAGUUGGAAGGGAAGUAGUAAGUAGGCAGGUGCACGUGCCUGGGUGUGGCAGCAGAAGAGUACUGCACGCCAGCUAUCUGGGGUGGCACAUUUACAGUGUUAACUAUCAAAUGCAGCCCUGUGCCAGCCUCAUGGAGUGCGCUGUUCUUUCUGCUGCUGCCCUUCACCUAUCAGUAAGAGAACAGGAGCUUUCUAAGUUGCAGCUCCUGUAGCUUUCUCCAGGACCUGAACUCAAAUUUCUUAAAGAGAUUUGUGUCUACAAGUCAGUCUGUUGGAACUGGAGUGGUGGUGCUUAGAAAAUGUUGGUUCAUCUCUCAGAACGGGAGGCUUGGUAUUGUGUGUGAUGUCUUAUGGAUGAUAAAAGUAGAUGAUAAAAGGCCUAAGUACUGAUAAAUAGUUAAGUACUGGUAAAAGUUCAUCAACUUUGUUUAUGUCAGAGUUAAUUGAACAAAGCUGCUGCCAAUUCACUUCUCAAAGACAGUAAUGAAACUUGCAAAGAAACUCAGCAGUUGAGAUCUGCAGCAUUGUUGUCGAUUUUUGCUAUGGGUUUGCCAUCUUGAAAUACUUCACAUGUAUUCUGAGCUCUAAAAAAGGACUUCUCUGCUUCUUUUUUUUUUGUGGAAAUGGAAGAAAGGAGUAGAUUGUUAUGACAAAAAUGUAGUCUUUUGUCUGAAUAUGUUACACACAGUUUGGAUAUACAUACCUUUAUAGUUUUUUUUUUAUCCCAGAAUUUAGCUGUCCGAAGCACUUUCCUCCUGUUCAGUGUUGCAUCACCUACACAAGAAAUAAGAGGGUGUGGAGAGGAGAUGGGAGAAUGUCAAGCAUCUGAUACUUGUGUUCUUCCUUUGCACUUCAGUCACUUCUUAAAGUACACCACAAUUUCUGUAUAAUUUCGCAGUGGUUUGCUCGUUCUCAAAUGAAUUUCGAAAAUAUUCUUUGUGUUGGUUAUUUAACUUACAGACACAAACAGUUGAUGUUUUGUUGUUUGAAUUUCUGCCUGCCUAACAGCAAUGAGAGGAGAAGUAUGAGCUAUGCAAACAGAUUUUAUUGAAGUAUAAAGUCAGAGCCAGCAAUUUACACAGUGUACAGAAAUGACAUGUCAUUGCCACAGACUGGCUACUACGGGAAGUUACUGUUGAACUGCCUCCCAAAUUAUAUAUUACGACUAUUCAUACCCCAGUCCAUAAAACUAAUUGGGGGCAAAAAUAUUCCAUGCACCUCAGAGUCCUGUAAACCUUUGGGCUGGGGAAAAAAAAAAGUAAUAGACAACUGCAAGCUAUUUUAUUGGACAAGUAUUGAGGUAAAAGCUUCUUAAAUUUCCUGGAAGUCUGAAAUAUAGUAUAAGUUAGGUGUCAAUUUUCAUGGGCUCACUUCUUCGUCAUGAAUGUGUUUGAAUACAGUAUUCAUAUAUUUUCUUAACCAACAUGGUUCUUGUGGUGUGCCUUAGUUUUAGGAACAGCUACAAUCUUAGGCAUAUCCUUGGUGAGGGUAAAUAAUUUGCUUGAUGGCAUCACUAAUAUAAAAUGGUAGUUGACUUGCCAAGUUAGCUGCUCGUGGAUUGGUAGCAGUCUGACAACAUGAUUUCUGAACAGCAAUAAUAGCUUUUUAUAGUUACACUCUAAAUACUCAAACUCACUUCUUCAUAUGUGAAGUUGUGGCGCCACUGCUAGAUGUUAGGUAAUAGUGAAUUUUUAACAAUUUGUUGAAUUACAGGUUAAAUUACUGGUGCUUCAGAAAAGGAGAAAAUAAUUCACCCUCAUCCUCUUCCUUCUUCCUGCCACUGGCAUUCUUGCAGCCAUACUGUAACCCAGAUGAUGAUUAAUUCAGCUGAAAACGUACAGGAUGUAAAAGUUACCUUUUAAAGGUGUACCUAAGAAGAUUCUGUUCAAGAGAAGGGGGAAGUGAUCAGCUUGGGGAAGGCAAGGCUGUUUCUUCCCAUGUUGAGUCUUCAGAGGCUCCAGUAUCUUCAUCAUUCAGGUAGGAUAUCAGGACCAAGAACUGUUCCUCUUGUUCAUGCCAGUUAAGAAGCGCACGGAGCCUGAAAUCAAGGCAGUUAGGUACUGAUACUACUUCCCUGUUCCUGCUUACAAGGAUGAUGAAGGGAGUUGGUGGAUCUUCUGAUAAAUAUGUCCUCUAGUUUGUGGCUGCAUUACCACAGAUAUUUUGAAAGGAGUGCACCUGGCUGAAUAGUCAACUGUGCUUCUAUUUCUUUUCUCAGAGCAGGUGGGGUACAACUGUCAUUUUGUGGUAUUUACAAGGAAGCAGUAAUAGAAGACUACUUUCAUUAUGCAUGCAGCAUGUCCUUGGUGGAAUGGAAGCAGAUAAUACAGAAAUUAGUUAGAAAAAAAGCAUUUUUGCUUAUCGACACCUUAUAUUUUCCUUAUGUUGUCUGCUUUGGGCCCUUUAUGCUGCAGAACAUUGUACUGCAUCCCAAGACCUAAAAUUUGGAGUCUGUUGUCCUUGACACUGGGAGGAAGUGGAGCCUGAAUAUCCAUAAAGAACUAUAUUUGUUUCUUAUUUUAAGGACUGGGAAUUGGAAGUAAAUAUCACAAUUCUUCAUGAAUGGAAGAAUUGUGGAAGAAUGGAUAGAACCUUUUGAACAGUACAACAUUUAUGUUUAAGUUCUUUAUACAUAUAUAUGUUUAUAUUGUGUAUAUAUAUAUAUACACUUAUGAAAUAAAUUCCUUGCCUAAGAGAGUGCGAAUAUGGGAUAUUGCUGGCUGUGCUUCCCACACAUCUUCAUGCAGAUUUUAAUUUCUGCUAAGUCUUGAUUGUUUUAUCCUUCCUUCCAGCUUCUGCUUUUUAUUCCUCCUUCCUGCAACGCUUUUUGGUAGUGGAGCUGCAGCACAUCAUUCUGGAUUCACGAACUCUCCAUAAAUACAGAAGGAAGAAUUAAAUGAUUCCCAAAUUAGAAUUUAAUGUUAUAUACAGUACAGUUAUGUUAAUGAAAAGAAAGUAUUGACUUUAACUAUUUGUUUUCAAUUAGGAAAAUCCCCUUUUUCCUAUCAGUCAUACCAAACCUGGACUGUGUUUUAGAAAACAAGUAGAGAGGAAGCUCCUUUAACACCUCACGGUGCAGGUAUCUCUAUUCUGAUGAUGGAAGAGGCUUGGGCUGGAGCCCAGGAUGAUGCGGCAACAUCAGCCUCACCACCUCCACUCUUUUACUUCAGCAGCAGGGGCCCUGGCUUCAGAGGAACAGCACAACUGCUCAUAAUGUGUUACAGUUCCAGCACAGGUAUAGCCUUGAACAGCUUGGAAGCCUUGGGAAGCUGCAAAAUGAUGAGUCAAAUGCCUCAGCAUAUUUAGUUAGAAGAGAUGUCAUGCAGAUUAGGCCUUGGGAUAGGUUCAGAGUUCUCCAAGUUAUCUACAUUCAUAUUCUUCUUCUGUAACCUUUUUGUCACAAUAAGAAAUCACAAUUAUUUAUAUGAGCUAGAGCAGAGCAUAUGGAAAGUUGGGAAUUAAAGAGACAGACUAACUUGCUCUUCUCUGUUUUUAAAAACAGUUAAUUCAGAUUUUAGCUACAAGGUCCAUACUCUUCCAGCCCAGCUGUUGUACUUCUCACACAUUGGAAAAACACUGUACAAAUAACUUAGUCUUAUAAAAGGAUUUCUCUUUCACAUAACUUCAAUUUUCUCUUGAAACAGCUCCCAGUCCAACACUCCAUGUGAAAUCAAAGGUGUCAGGUGCUUCAGAAUUGUUGUGACUGAACUGGGAAGGCAACAUCAUGGUUUUGUUUUUUUUCUCUUAAAUAUAAUUGAUGCUUCACACACAAGAUUUUUAUUUCAUUAAAAUGCUGUGAAUCCCUUUAGUUUACUUACCUUUUUUCCAAAUAUGUUCUUAGUAUAUGCUAGGAAAAAAACCAUCAGAAACAGCUAAUUAUUAAAUGUAAAGACACUGAUAUAUUUAACAUGAUCGUUUAACCAAUACCAAACUCUAUUUUCACACAUAUUUUCCUAUCUUAGUGAACCUUCCUAUAAUAUGAAAAUGUGUAUUAGCUUUAUAGCUGUGAAACCUCUAUUAACGUUAUGAGAUCAUUCGUGUAUGAAUUUCUGCAGAGAGAUAAAUUGAAGAAAAGUGCCAUAAAAAUACAAACAGAUUCUCCUGGAGACAGUUUGUUAUCUGCUGGACAGAGAAUUCUGAUUAAAAUACGACCUAUUAAUGGAGGAAUCUGAAUGCUACCGCAGUAAGUUUCUGUUUAUUUGUUGGUUUUAACUUACAGUCAAGGUUAGCCAUAAAAUGAAGUUUUAAGUAAGUUAUUGCAACUGGACGUAAAUUGGCUAACAAAUGUUAAGAGAAAACUCGGAACUGUUAUAUGGCCCUUCUCAUCAGCCUGAUGUGAGUAGGGAUGACCCAUACAGACUGUAUUCCCGCUUCUGCAGAACCCGAAUUUGGUAUCCUUUAACAUUCACAGUAUGAUAUUUAUUGAAGAAGAGAACAAAGGUUCCCUUCUGCACUUGAAGAGCAACCCAACUUCCAAAGAAAUGAGAUUUCUAGUCUUAAAGAAGAAAAAGGAAAACCUGAGUCUUGAUGAAAAAGUGAACAUCAGGACUGCAUAGUAUCUAACUUGUAGGUGAAGAACUUUAAGCAUAGUAUCCUGCCCCAAAUAUUCCUGGAGCUUGGCUGUAAUACUUGAAAAAGCUUUCUAGUAGUCAGUCAGUCAGCAGCAUAAUCUGCAGUUUCAAAUUAAAUGUCAAACCUACCUCGUUAGAAGGACAGAAUAAUUGCCCUGGAAUAGGAACUGUAGUACUCAAGUGAGAGGUGCAGCUUAACCUAGUGAAAGUAUCCUGCACAAAAGAGGAUCUUGGAGGUUUUUAAAGCUAGGGCACUUGGUACUGCUGGCAGCAGCUAACUAUUUUACUUGAGAUUUAUAACCUUGAGUGCUGUCCUGAUUAGUGUUUAUGUUCUUUCAUUUAAAAUAUGAUUCCUCAGGAAGAAGAGUUGUUUUCCUGCUUAUAGAGGUUACGGCCUUCACCAGAGAGAAGCCAGGUUUUAUUUUAAGUGAUAAAACACAUGUGUAUUAACCUUUUAGGAUAUUUGCAUGCCCUGCUUCUCAGGAUCAGAUAAUAUUUUCCCAUUCUUAUAGUCAGCGAUGCUGACAGUGCCCCAGACUGAUUACUCUCAAAGGCAUUGAUGAGAUGGAGAGUCUUGCUGCAGUGACAAGAAGUAAGUUGCUUUCUUUUUAUUAGACAUAAGAUGUGCGUGUGCCUCUGCAAGUCUUCUCUAAAGAUGACUUUUCACUCAGCAUGACUUAGAAAGACUGGCUCUUCUCUCCUGUGCAAACACAGAGCCUUAACUGCCUUAAAAAGUGAUACAUUCCUGAUAAAUGCUCAACCCAUCAUUAUUUUAGAACAAAAAGAGAUGAGAAGCUUUUCAGAAGCUAGUGAAGACAUCGUUGAAUUCAGAAGUCCGUGGCCACAGUAAAUAAGCAGGAGCUGUGAACUGGCAAAAGCCUUGGUCACUGAGCCCAUUUGAAUCCUUUCUUCGAGAAAGCCAUACUGUGAAGGAGUUCCUUUAACCCUCAGUAUAACAAGACUUCUUGAGCACGUGAGAUUAUGAAGAAAAUCAUUGGAAAGUGAAACAGGGCAGAAGGAUGUCACCUCCAGCACUGUUUCACCUGAUAAUUUCCUGCAUGGAGAGAUUUCAAACAUGCUGCCUUUCUCAAUCUGGUACUGUUCAGCCUUGGAGUACUGCAUGUUCCUUGAACACUGAUGAGUGGGUAAGAUUCAACAUAGGACUGUUCUGCUCAUCUUCAUAGCUAGCACCAACAACCUGAGAAGUUCUCCUUAGUCUCCCUUUCUGUUCCUAACUUUAUCAAAGGUGAUGAAGAUAAUAGCAGGGCCUGAUGUGGCAGGUGCUACAAGUUUCUGCCUUUCUCUCAGUCAUAGAUUUUGAACCUGAACAUAAGAUCUGUCUCACCCAGAAUCUUGUUGCAAACAAAGGAUAACCAAAGACACUUAUGUGGCACUGAGAGAUGUGGUUUAGUGGGCACAGUGGUGAUGGGUUGACAGUUGCACCUGAUGAUGUUGGAGGUCUUUUCCAGCCUUUAUGGCUCUAUAUCACAUUUCUCCUUGAAGCAUGGGUUAAGUGCAAAAAAAUCCAAUGACAGUUCAUUGACAGGAAUGAUUGGUGAGCCAUCUAGGGGAAGUGCUCUGCUGGACAUUUUACUUGUAAACAAACUGGGGAUGUGAAGGCUGAGGGAAGCUUUGGCUGUGUUGUAUAGUUUAAAAUUCUCACAGAAACGAGCACAGCAAACGGUAUAAUUGGAAGCCUGGAAUUCUCGGGAGCAAAUUUCAGCUUUUUCAGAGAUCUGCUUGGUAGGGAGUCAAGAAGUCGUGGGACAACUAAUUGAUCUUUAAGAGCAGUCUCCUCAGAACACAGAAGUGAUCAUUCCAAAUCAUAGAAAGUUUAAGAAAUGUGGUACAAGGCUGAUAUGAACGAACAUGACAUUUGAAUGACUUCAAAAACAAAGGAGGACUAUAUAGAAGGAAGAAGCAGAACGAAGACUACCUGUAUAGAAUAUACAGAUAUUUCCCAAGUCUGCAAGGUGGGAAUUAGGAAAGCCAAAACUCAGCUGGUGUUGCAAUAGCAGAGGAUGUGAAAGGCAACAGAAAGGGCUUAAGUGGUAGCAAAAAGUAAGCCUAAGGAAAACUUGGCCCAAAUACUCUGCCAAGGGACUCAGAAGCAAAAUGUAUUGAGAUGGAUAGGAUGUUCAAUGCCUUUUCUGCCUUCUGUUUCAUUUUGUUUCACUAGUAAGAAUUAACCAUAAUUCUGAGGCUAAUAGUAGAAUCUGUGGGAUUGAAGCAAUAACCGCAGCAGAGAAGGGGUGAGCAAUUAAAUCAACUGGACCUAAACAAGUCAUGUGAAUAAAUGGGAUGCAUCCAAGGGUGCUAAAGAAGCCAGCCCAUGCUGCUGUGAGUCUGCUAACCAUUGUCUUUGGCAGUUACAGUGACUGAGGUGGUCCCUGAUAGACAGAAAAGGCCAACAUUAUGCUCAUCUUCAAGACAGUUGAGUGAGAAAAUCCAAGAAACUGUAGUCUAAGCAGUUUAACCUCAAGCUCCUGGAAGAUUUCCUCCUGAAAACCAUUUCUGAGCUUGUGAAGGCCAAGAACAUGAUUAGAUACAGGCAGCAUGGAUUUGCAAAAAAGCAGACUGUUCCUGAUCAACCUGAUUGAUUUCCAAGAGCAGAUUCAUGUGAAUUUUUGCAAUCAGGAGGGAAAAAAAAGCAUUCAAGAAAAGAGCCAGCUGGACUUGAGAAAUGCAGCCUGAUGUUUGGUUUCUGGUACGCCGCUCCUUCGUGCUGCUGGGACAUACCAUAUCUAUCGCUUCUGGGAGAGAAUGCCCUGCCCACAACACACUGCUACUGCCAGGGCAGGGGAGGAAAGCCUCACGACACCUGAUGGAGCUACUGCCAAGCCCUGGGAAGGGCAAGACCGAGGACCUGGGAUUUUGGGAUUGAGGCCAGGUGCCGUGAACCUGGGCCUGGGCUGUGUGGUGCUAGUGUGGCUGUGCUGGCAGAGGCCCCUAGCAGAGCUGCAGUGCUGGCUGCAUGAGGACAGCUGUAAAUCUCAGAGGAAGUUGCGCCAUCUCUCCUCGUGACAGAGGCUUGGCAGGAAUGCCUCACCCACCCUGCUCACAGAGGCAGAACAGGCAGAGCCGUUGUGUCAACACAGCGUGUGCAUGGGGGGCUGCGAAUUCCCUGCCCUGCACACACGCCUGGCACAGUGCAGGCAUUUGGGAAGAACCCAGCAGCACAUGCGUAGGCUGAGGGACAUCCCCAGAUUCUCCUAGAUUAUUAAAUGGCAGCAUAGAGCUGUGUUUUGAAAGUGCUGCUUCAGUAUAGUGGGAUGUUAAGUUCUCUACUGUGAGAGCGGUGAGGUGCUGGAACAGGCUGCCCAGAGAGGCUGUGGAUGCCCCGUCUCUGGAGGUGUUCAAGGCCAGGAUGGAUGGGGCCCUGGGCAGCCUGGUCUCAUAUUAAAUGGAGAGGUUGGUGGCCCUGCAUGUGGCAGGGGGCUGGAGAUUCAUGAUCCUUGAGGUCCCUUCCAACCCUGGCCAUUCUGGGAUUCUGGGAUUCUGUGAUGUACUACAUGGUAUCUUGGUCUGUCUGCACAUGGGGCGUAUUUGCAUUAACCUUAACGAGACUGACAAAAGUAAGAAGCAAGUUUAAAGAAAAUUGGAUUAAAUGACUUAAUUCUCCACAGUUGAAGACUUUAAAUUUUAAUCAAGUCUUGAGUCUGAGGCUAAUAACUUAGAGUGAAUGUUUAAAAUGACUAAAAUCUAAAACUAAACAUGUAUAUCUAAUGUGCGUUAGCACUGAUGUGUUUGCAAAGCUGCAGUUCCCGAAGAUGUGCAUAUUGGAAUGACAGAUUUCAAAGGCCAGCAUAGGCUUUGCCCAAAGCUCUGGAUUGGGGUUCACUGUGUUUUGGAUCAGCUGUACCUCAGCCGUUACCCUGUGCUCAUGCAAACCCCGAGGCCUGUGUGCUGUGGAGCACCUUAAUGAAACGCUUUGGUCGUUAUGUUCACAAAGAUGGGGCACUGCAGUGCCAACUCUAGCCAUGCUUAAUGUGCAGGACAGUCAGAAGGCUGUUAAAUUCUCUGCUGUGCACCUGAAAUAUAAUCUUUACAGAAGAAAAAAAAGCAAAAAACAAACAAACAAAAACAUGGGACAGGUGGUUUGAAUUCCAGUCUGUUAGGCCUCUUGCCACAAGGCCCUCUGACCUCUUGAGUACUUGGGUCUUGAUAAUAACGUAAAGUCACUGGAUUUCAAAGCUUCUUUCACUUGGGGUUUCUUUUCCACGUGGCUCCGAUAGGUUGGAGGGACUUUGCAUUAGUCCAAAAUAGAUUGCUGAUGGACAGUGGAACUUCUGAACCCCAGAUCCCUGCAGCUAGCUCAUGCCAUACUUAAGAUCCUUCUCACACAGGGUUCUUCUCACAGGUAUUUCACAUGAAAUAUCUUCUCAUAUAUCCAGUUAUCUGCAUGUCUGGGAAAGAAUUCGUCUGUGAGGGCAGGUGUUAGGUGCUGGCUGUCCAGCUGCCUCCAGAAUUGAGUGAAAAGCUGAAUCACAGAUAAUUCCCCACAUGUGCAGUGGUGUGUGCCUGGGGUUAAUUCACUCUCCUGGUCGCUAUUCAUACCUGUUAACCACACAGCAGGUGCUGGCACCAGCAGCAUGUACAUGAAAGCGAUCGGGGCUGUUGGGAACUGCCUGUGCUGGACGUUUUGUUCAUUGUCAUGAGAUAAUGAGGGAUUGCCUUGGCCCAGCAAAAGGUAUUAGCAUUUGUUAAUUGAAGAAAUGGCAAUAAAACCUUGUAAACAUUAUUUUCUUGGAUUUGCAUAUCUAAAAAGGAUCGGGAGAAUGCUUUAAUGAUAAACAAUACAAAACUUCCAAUAGCACAUUUUUGAAUGCAUGCAACUCUAAUAAUUUUAGUGAAGUCAUCAUAAUUCUAUAAGGAUGUUAUAGCACAUUUGCAAGCUCGUUGUGACCUUCCGACAUGCCUAAUGUAGAACUAUGCAAAUAUAAAUUAAUAGAUGUUUGACUAAUAGACUAAAAUAUUUUAGAAGAGCUGUGAAGUACACAAAUAUAAAAGCUAAACAGUUUGAAUUUUGGUAUGCUUAAGAAAUCAUUUGUUAUGCUAAAAGAAAUAAUCACCUUUCCCAAGAUGACGCCUUUACUUCAUGUGGGAUAACUUGUCCUGUCAAGGCAAAGAUGCUAUGUCUUUAACAGGGAUGGUUAACUUCUAGCAAUAUCUUGCCUUCAGUCUACCUUUGGAGUAGUUUUGGGAAUGAUCAGCCUGAUGUGAGGCUAGCAAAGGUAGCGAAUGUCCAUUAAAUUUCAUCCACUCUCAUCUGAAUCUGAUGGUCAAAAGUCUUCACUAGCUCCGUGUUACCCCUGUGCUAUCAUCUCCGCUGUUCUAAAUUUGGUUGAAAUUGUCGAACAGGUUGAAAAAUCACCAGGGAAAGCGGGGUAAUAGUGAGUUGAUGUGUUUGCAUAAGCCUUAUUUCUUUAGGACAUUAUACAACAAAGUUAAGAGCCUGCUGGAUGUUGGCAUCUGCAAUAUUCAACAGUAAAGAUAUUUUGUUUCGCUGUUAAUGUUACUGCCAGUUUGUGUAGAAAAAAAAAAAAAAGCAGUUUGCUUAACAGCACAAUUCUAAUUAGUCUUCAUCAUGUGUGGCGUUUUGUUUAGAAAACAUGUAAAAGUUAAAGCAAAUAUAGUCUACCUCAUGUUGUCUGUAGUUAGCAUUUCGAUCAGAACAUCCAGUUCUUUCUUCUCUCUUUCCUUUUAAAAUUAUGUUUUUAUUUCAACGGUACUUUCUACCAGCAGGCAAAGCUGCUGUUACAAUCUACCCAGCUGUGAAAUCAAUAUGAUUUUCAUUACAAAGAUAACAGAAACUCUCUUAGAAAGACUGUGAAUUGCCAAAGGUCAAAUAACAGUCAGUGGCAGAGCUUAGAAUUUAGAUGUCCUAAUUAAAAAAUCUUCUGGUAUAAAUAUAUUAAUGAAAUGCACCCUGAGAAAUGUUUGCAUUUAAGAUGGCAACACUUUUGCACUAUUAUGUUGUACCUUUAAUUACUGUAUACAUGUGAGUCCUAUUAAAAUGCUAUACUUCUUUCUCCACAAUAUGACCAUUUUUUAUAAAAUAGGUGCUCAGUUCUAGUUUCCUUUUUUUAAUUCACAGUUAUUUCAGCAUGAUUGGAUUAGAAAGUGUAACAGUUACAGAACAGAGAACAUAUCUAGUAAGAUUUCUGUUGUAUUGGACUCUAAAAAUUACACAUAAACCAAAUGAAUGAGUACAUCAGUUAUUUCUGAUAGAUGACUUCAUUAAAAAUGAGAGGAAGUGCACAGUAAAACUGAAAGCAGCACUGGAAUCUUUCAGCCGGAGCAGCCACUUCUCUAUAAAUUAAAAUCAGCAUUUUAAAAGAAACGUUACCAGUCUUCUGAAGACUUCUGUGAUCUUCUUCUUAUUAAACCUUAGUUCUUCCAUCUGAAAAUUAUAUCAACGUUAUUAUCAAUGAAAAUUCCAGGAAAGCAAUUAUUUUAUUGCUUCUGUUUGAUAUCCUUCCCUCCUAUUCUCUCUCUCUUUUUAUUUUUUAUUUUUCAAUUUAAAUUCUGUCUUUCUACUCUGUGUGUUGAAUCAGUAAAAUCGGAUUGCUAAAUAUUGUGGAUUUUAAUAGGAAAAGUUCUCCACCUUACAGCUGAAGGGUUUUUAUGUUAUUGUGCUCCCUCUGCUGGAUAGUACCUAUUAAUUUUUUAUUCCCUGAGCUGUACUAAUAUGUGUUGCAUAAACAAAGCAAUCAUACUGUCUUAAUGAAAGAGGUAUAAAAAGUGGGAAUGCCUCACUUAGGUCUCAGAUGACAUGGAAAGUGACAGCAGUAGGCUAGGAAAAAUCCUGUUUUCUUGCAGCUAGAUGCAAUCAAAACCCCUAUAUGGUUAUCUGAAGAACAGUUAUUUGCUAUCUCUUGAACAAAACCAGAUGGAUAUUAAAUAACCUUCCCUCAUUUGUUUAACUUAGAGAGGAUGAUGUUGAUUCUCAUGCUCUGCUAAGUGCAACAGUGUCCUGAGAUGUCCGCAUGAUGUUAUUAGAAUCUCAGUCUUAGUGGGGUGGUUCUCAUAACUUGUCUCAUCCUUUGUUGAAUCUUACAAAGUCACUGCUGUGCCAGCAUUUGUGCAGUGGAUAAAGCAAGCAUGCUCAGACUCAGUGCAAGGCAGGCAGCAGAUUGCUGCUUUCCCAUCGCCACUGCAGUGACCCAAAGAAGAGGAAGAGGAACAGUCCAAUUUUGUUCAGAGAAGUGGUGUUGGUCUUUGCUGCCUUUGACUUCUUGUGGUGUUUUGGCCUUGGGCUCCUGCUUGCUUCUUUCCUGCCGCUUUCACACAGUGAGCCUGUCUUCCAUCUGCUGUCCUGUGGUGACCUGGUGGGGUACAGCCCCAGCCCCAGAUCCCACCCCAUAGCACACCCUGCAGAGCCACCCAGCUCCACUCCCACGAGCAUGGCCACCCUGGUCCUGCAGGCACCCUGCUCUCUGCCAUCAGAUGUAUGAAAAGGGGAUGGAAACAAAACACGCACUUCAGAUUUGCCAAUCUGAGCUUCUGCCAUGGUUUUGCCAGGAAAGUUGGACACUGUGUUCAUUAUCUUUGUAGUUUCCUCAAAACUUAAUGUGAUACAGCAAAUGCCACUGCAUAUUACUGACACUGAACUGGAAGUUGUUUUCAGCUUAUCUUGACUGACUUACAGAUGUAACUCCAGUAUUUCCAUAUAGAUUGGACUGACAGUGUAUUUAUUUUAUAUUUUUAUUUCUAUAUAUAUUUAAAACAGUAUUCAAAGUUUUUCAUGAUCCCAAACAAUGCAACAGUGAAAUAAUCUGCAUAGUUAUCUUCUCUAUGAGUAACUCUUGUAAAUACAACCCCUAAUAUGCAUGAAUAUUUUCAUUUCCAAACAAAUUACUUUUAAAAACCUACUUCUUAAAACCCAAACCAUUCAAAAGAAUAAACAUCCAGUUCCUGAAACCUUCAGUUCCUCUUAUUUGGAUGAGAAGAUGGAUGUUCAAUGUAUUUUACAUUCACUAUAGUAAUAAAAGCAUAUCGUGCCAUUGCACAAAUAUGUUACCUUAAACUAGGAGGGCCUAACCAGGAUUGGUGUCAAUCAUGGCAGAGCACAUUGGCCUGGGAUGCAUCCUCCUCAUGGAGGAAAAUUGGGGCACCAAAGAUUUCUGCAGGAGUCGCCAUCUGUGGAGGGGCCUCAUGGUUCAGGUUGAAAACUGUUUGCUUCAGUUUUGGGGCCCUGCUGAGUUACAGCCUCUAAAGCACUUAGCAGUGCUUGUCUCAGCAGCAGCACACACCAUAUGCUUUGGGAGCAUUCCCAAGCGGAAUGUUAUCCUCACUGCACUCCAGCAUGCUCGUUAAUGCUCCCAUUAUUUCAUUCAGUGGGACUAAUCCAAAGGCCCCUGAAGUUGUCAAAGCUGUCUUUAAGAUACUCUAGAUAAAACCUGGGGUUGCGUGAUUUAAGUCACACUGAUUCUCAAAUCAUAAGUGAUAGUUUAUAUGCUGGUUUCUUUAUUCUGAGCUAUCUGUUUUCCUCCAUCUUUUGAAAAAUAUUGAUGUGAAAUGGAAAAAGGAACAGAAGGGUUUGAAAUGCUACUAUUUUUCUCUCUCUCUCUCUCUCUCUUUUUUUUUUCCAGAGAAGGAAUGGAUUGAAUGUACACUGCAUUCCAUACAAUGCUAGUUCAAAUUCAAAUGUAUGUAUUGAUCAAUAAUACAAUCAAUUUCCCCAAAUAUAUGAUCAGCUCAUGGGAAAGUCCAGAGAUUUUGAAGUUGACAUGGAUAAAGGAAGUGCUGGAUUAAGCUGUUGUAGUUCUCAGUCAAUCCUGGUCACUCCUUGUUGCUUUCUGGUCACAAAACAUGUUUAGUAGAAAAAAAUAUAUAUUUUGCAAAAUCACCAGUUAUAUUUAAGAGGAGAAAAAUUAGACUUUGCCAGGAAGAAACCCUCCUUAGGUCCCAAUAUUUUAUCAGAUGAUGGUAUUUCUUUAAAUGCUGGCAAUUUUUCUGUUCAUUCCCAUUUAUUUUAAAAGCAGAUUUUAAUUUUUCUUUUGGGGAAAAAAAAAAUGGACAGAAAAGGAUGGGAUGUGUGGGGACUGAGGAAGAAUGAAACAACAAACUAAGCUGACAGAAGAUACUAUUUCAAAUGAGUGUGUUUCUGGUAGUGGGAGGGAGACUAAGACCAAACAAGAAAGAAUGGCUGGGGAGGAUCUACUCGGAAUUCCACUGAUGUGCUAACAGCUGUUAUUACAGUAUCUGGCUUUUUGAAUUAAAUAUUGAUAGAAAUAAAUGAAAAAAGAGAUCAAGUAAACUGGAAUGUGUGUUCUGCCUUCCUAAGACUACCAGACUCAACACCCUUUUAUACAAUUAAUUGUAUUAAACACCGACAUCAGCUGACAGGAAAUAAGAAAGUUCCUAUGGCAACUAAAAAUAAGCACAGGAGGAAGAAUGCAUCAAAUGCUGUCAGCAGACAGCAUAAAAGGCAAAUAUAUGGAGAUAACAGCACAAAAGAAUAUACGAGACCUGUCUCAUAAACAACAUACAUGCUUGGAUGGCUUGUUUUUGUUUCCUUCCCAACUAGGAACACUGCACCUUACAUACAGAAUCUACUUACCAACAGUUAAAUCACCUUGCAGAGUGUGGCUCCUGGCUUACGUGCUGUGCAACGUAGGGGCAGGACCCACGAGUUCGAAAGCAGAGGCAAGGUGAGUGCACAGCUGUACCACGUGUAAGCUGUCAUCUCAGUGGGAGAAUGAAUUUUAAAACCAUUUAACUUCUGAACUUCUUGGAUUACCUGCUUUUCCUGUCUAUCUUUUUUUCCUACCUCCACUUCUCUCACAAGAAGCAAAGCUGAGCCUGCCCCAGACCUGUGUGGUGUGGAGAAAGCUGCGUUAUUUUCCCUUCACUCUCCAUGGUCUCAAGUUUCAAUUGCUCCUGCAGACCCUUCCAGGCUCUCUCUUCUGGUACAUCUUGGCCAUUAAGUACCUCUACAGACAUAAAAUCAUUUUCCUGUGUGAAGGUGUUGCUAUUUUCACAGUAAAAUACUCCUGCUGUGCAGUGCUGCACCUCCACACAGGACCUUUGUCACAGUGGCUGUGCCCUUGUGGCUCUGCUUGCCUGAUGCAUCGAAGAUAAACCUGCAACUCCCCACAUCCUGGCCAGCUCAGGAAACUUGGCUGCUGAGCAGAAGACAGCCCCACAUAUAGCAAAGCUUACUCUGCAGUUUGCUCGUGUACUGGCUGUUGGGAGCAGUAAAUGCCCUACCUCAGUGUGGAACAUACUUGCACUGCCUACACAUGCACAAGAAAGAAAGAACCACGUGCACAACUCCAGGUAAGUUUAGGACCUGAUCAUGAGUUGUCCACAGCAAAGCAUUGGAAACCAGGUGAUGUCAUCAGCCAAGGGGAUCCGCUUUCUCAAAUUGGCUGACAAGAACAAGCAGACACAUGUUAUGUUUUGCUCUGAUACAAUAAGCACUGUGAAGAUAUUAGCUGUUUUCUGAUUGAGUAAGGGUGUGUACUACACGUAAUACUCCAGCAAACAAAAUUGUUCUGAAAUUAUCUAACUAGGAUGUCACUGCAAAGGGAAAUGGCCUAUUCCAUAUAUUCCAAUAUUCAAUAUUCCAUUCAGGGGAUGGCAGUUGAGCUCUUAGUCCAGUAACAAGCUCAUUCUUAUUUGUGCCUUUGCUACCUGGAAGCAGAGGGCAGCACGCAUCUGUGCUUCAGAUAGGUCUGGUGCUGUGGGACAUCUGGAGUCAUACAGAUACAGCUGGCACAGCUGGCUCUGUUCUUCCAACUGGCCAGCGAGCUCACUGCUCUCUUCAUGAGACGAAGGAACUUGUUGACCACUUCCCCAGUGCUGAUGCAGAGCUGGAUAAUUGCAGUGGUUACUGUGGUUAGACUGUAGUGUAUUUUUUCAUACUCUUCUUGUGAAAUGUUGCAGCUCAACCCACCUUUUGCUCCUGGCAGAUGAUAGAUGUGCAGGCUGUGCAAAUGGGUGCAGCAGGAGUCAACUGAUGUUUUUUUCCUCCACAACUAGGUUGUAUUCUUCACCUUGUGUGAACCAGCAGGGCAGCACAGUAGGCAGUGGGUCUGAUACAAUCAGGUCAGAUUUAGCAUUUAAUUUAUCCUCUCAUAUUCAAUAACAUUCUCUGAUUACUGAGUUGAAAUAAACAAGAAUCAAUGACAAGCAAACAAAGGAUCAGCGAUCUUGUAAUUUUUGUUUUGUUUGUUUUGUACUUUGCUGCUAUUUUUUAUUUGAUAUGAAUCUUAAGGCAAAUAUUAAGAAAGAAGCAGAAGGAACAAGAUAUAUGCUUUCAGUGUUGUUACUAAACAACCUCAGGAUUUUUUUUCUUAAUAACUUUCUUGAAGUAGACAGUUUCAAUGUCUCUCUUAGUUUAGUUAGAGCACAAAAUGAACUAUAUGUUCACAAAAGGCACUAUAUGUAAAGUGUAAGUUCUGUACCAAAGCCUGCUAUUAGUGGUUCAGAAUAUGACGGCUGAAAUGCAAACUGUCCAAUAUGCCAAACUUCAGGGAGAUUUAGAUUAAAAAAAAACAAAUCUACAAAGCACAGAAAUCAAUUUUCAUUUGAAAAAUGUGCUUUGAACAAUGCCAACAAUCAAAAGAAUUUCAAAAGUCUUGUUUGUAGAAGGGAUAAAUACAUCCUUCUUCUCUGCUUUGUCACCUUUAACAAAAUCCAAUUCCACUGAACCUGGAAAACCUUUUGACAAAGUUAUUUGGCUUACCUGCUCCAAUGCAAAUUUUCACUGUAGCAUCAUUACCAACAGUUGCUGCAAGUGCUACUCACUCAGCAUGGUUGAUCCAGCCAGUAGUUAGACCCAGAAGCUGAAAGGGAUUCUGUGUCAAUUAGCACAAUUUCAGCAAGCUCAGCUGUUGGAAUUUUCCUUUGUAUAGGGCAGAGGAAGUGAUGGCCCUCACAUUCUGGGUCUGAAGCUCAGGUAAGUCCUGCUGAUGAGGUGCUUGAACAAACUCCUAAAAAAACCACCUGUCAGCUGGAAUAUGGAAAAGAAACCAGAAGAAUGAGAAAACAGGAAUGCCUUUGCAGUACUGGUGUGUAGUGCAAUGCUUUUUUUCCUUUAUAAAGUGAUCAGCAUUCUACUAAGGUCUUCAUUAUAACAGAAUCACAGAAUUAAGGGAGUUGGAAGGGACCCACGGGAACCAUCUAGCCCAAGCCUCUGACAGAGCAGGUUCCCUGGAGUAGGUUGCACAGAUCUCUUUGUUAGCAGGUGACUUCAGGAUGACGAUUAACAAUUCUCUGCCUCACGGAUAAAUCUUUCAAUGAAUGCCGAGGUUACAUUACCAACGUAAGGUUACAUUUGCUGUUCAUGGGUAGCAUACUUGGAAUGAAGUACUUUACAGUGAUUCUGUAAGUGCUCAGAACACUUCUGGAAAUGCUAUUAAGAAAUGCGUAAGAAACUUAGGAAACAAAGCAAAACUGAGCAGUGUACAAGCUGGUCUGUCUCUGUAUGGGAGAUUUCUCAGAAAUGGAAAGAAAUUCUGACAGCAGUAGGUCAAAUGUUCUGUUGACAUUGCUGCACUAUUCUGUUGGAAAUAACUUUCCUCAUUAGAAACAAAUGCAAAAUUUUGCAUGAAGCUUUUUCUCAGCUAAUUUAGAGCAGGUUCUUUCAUGUGUUUAUUCCUAAGGGAUGCAAAACAUUUCUAUUGCAACGAAAGAUGGAGUUGAUGAGUACCUUGCAGGACUGGGCCACCGCUACUUCAAGGAUAAUCCCACAUUCUGGGGACCUCAGGAAGUGCACCAAUGCAGUCUACUCAGUGACUUGCUAAGUAAAUGAGGUUUAAAUAAUCUUUAUAAAUAUAGUCUCAUUGGGAGCUCCUUGCCCAUGAUUAAUCUGAAAAUAACCAGAAUUUCAUUGGAUUAAUAAAUCAAAAUUUUCAGUUCAAUGCAACUUCAAAAUUGAGGGCACAUUUCUUUUUGUAUUGAGAACAUAGUUUUGUUCCUUGUUCUGUACGUUUCUAUUUCUUCAGUAAGUGUAAUUUGAAAGAGGAAGAGAAAUAUAUGACUGAUGCAUUAAGAUCAACCACGAUAGGUGAUUUAAUAUACAAAAGGCUCUUCAGAUAUUCCGGGAAGAAAAUGUAAGUGAAAAAUGCAGUAUUAUGGCUAGUACUCAUUUGCUGUGUUACAGUCAGAAGUACAGUAUCUGAAUUUUCCUCAUGAUUAAAAUAGCUUUUAACUUUACUGGCAAGUCCAAGCUAUACCACGGCGUUAGUGAUAACCAGGUUAUCUUGCAUGUGCAGCCUAGGAGCACAUGGCAGCAGGGUGUGUGAUGCACAUAAGUCACUGUCCAGAGCCCAGAACAGUGCAUAAAUAUUGUCUACAGAGCACAAAGCAUAUUUUUAAUUUUAUGCUAACAUAUGACAAGGACAUUUUAAAAAUGUCUGGCAAGACAGUAUGAAAUCUUCUUAUUGUAAGUCACAGGAUUAAUUUGUGAGCUCCAAAUCCGUUUCACAUUAAUGUUCUUGAAGCACAGGCAAGCAGGGCUGUGUCAUGCCCAGGACCUUCCUGGUUACGAAGGACACAGGAUGGAAGGGAAACUGCCAGAAACCUCCUUUCUGUUGAAGGCUGUGGUGGCAAGGAGGAUGAAAUCCUUCCAGGUUUAUGUCUGUAACCCAGCUGUUGAUGGUUUGAGCUUCAAGAGUGUUGGUUUGCCAGGUGAGAGGCAGAGGAGAGGAGCUAGGAAGCAUUCAGUGGGGCAGGCUGGUCACUCAGAUGGGACCUGCACCUUGGGCUACCCGUCCACGGCUCACACAGAGAGACCAAAGGGGCUGCCCAUGUCCACUUGGUUCUCCCUCUUGUUAUCCCUACCUGUUGCCAUGGCCUUCUAAUUCACCAGGCUAGAGAAAACAAAGUGACUGCAUAAAGUGAAAUGUUAGCCUGACUUUUUCAGUUGCCUAUGUGCAUGCAAAAGAUGCUAUGAAAGGAGGCUGCUUUGUGAAGAUGCAUCAAAGAGGGAUUUCUACUGUUUGUCAUUGGAUUUCAUUUCAGUGCUAAAUCACAUCAACCUCUGCAAGAAGUCAGGAAAAAAUGGAAAAUGUGUCGCUGCUGUCAUCCCAAGUUUUGUUUGCAUUUAUUUACAUUAAAGCUCUUGUUUCUGUAGGACUUUUGAGGCUGAUCUUGUUCUUGUCUCUUCUGGGUUUCAAGAAUAUAUUUUAGAUACUAUGUCAAGUCUCAGUGUUGCUUGUAUUACAUCUACAGACUGCAAAAUUAGGCGAUCUGAAUUAUGUUCCUAGGAAAGCAUUUUAGCAUCGAAAGCCAUAAGUUUCUAAUUAUCAGUUUAGCCAUCAUGCAUUUUAAUAAUAUAUAUUAUUAUUAUUAUUAUUAUUUGCAUGUGUUAACAUUAUCUACUAGAAUAAAUAUUAAAUGGAUGCAAAGCUUUGAGAGUCAAUCAGUAAAACACAAUUCUAGUAUUUUCUGGAUAGAAUUUGUGCAAUUUUUGCUUUCUUUGGUUUUGUGCAUUGCAAUCAGUCUUUAAUUAAGAGAACAUAUACUUUGUUUUUGUAUUUGCUGAUAGAUCUAUUCUCUUGAAAUUCUUUAAAGUCAGACACCUGGCAUGGAAACAUAGUUCAUAUAAAUGGCGCAUUAAUGGGCUCAGUAUUUGAUUUUAUCAUUGUGUUCAUUGAGUGUACAAUGCCUUAUUAAUUUCACAUUGUGCAAAGUUGGUUUAAUUCAGAAUUAUUUGUUUCCUUAUGACCAUUUCUUUUAUGGUCGUCAUUAGAGUAUCCAGCUGUUUCACAAGCAGUAAUGAACUUCUGUCAUACUACUUUGCUGCAAUGAAGAGUAUUAUUAGUCCAAUUUUUUCAGAUAAUAAACUGAAGCAGAGGAAAAUAAAUAAUGACUAACUACAGAUUUUGAACACUGAGUAGGAAAAAAAAAACAACACUAUCAUCAGAUUCUGGUGCAGUCUUUUGUUCAUGGCACAGUCCUCACUGAUGUAAUGUGUGAGGACUCAGUGCUCCUGCAUGACGAAGGUAGGGUCUUGAUUCAAAUGAAGAGAGCAAAAGUGAAGCAAAUGAAGUUUUAAAUACCUUGCCUCACACAGCAGCUCUAUCAGUCAGUGGCAGAUUUCAGGCCUCCAGGGCAGCGUUCAGCUGUCUUAACUAUGAAAUCAAUUUUUAUUUUACUGCAGUUUGUUCUCUUGAGUGGUGCAUGCAUUCCACCUAGAGUUAGGGUGGAAAUUGCUUUCCAGUUCCUUGCAAGUUUUCCAGCCCAGCUUCACAAUGGGAUGCUUGUUGAAACUCUUCAAGGACAUCCUGGAAGAACCAGAGCUGCUCAGAGGAGUCUGGGGAGGAAUCACAGGGUUGCUGGCCCUCUGGAGCUUGACCUCUUCCAUUCUGCUGCUUCAGUCAGCCUGCUUGCACUCUUUCUGGCCUAAUAGAGCACCUCUGUUUUAUGUGAAGAAGAAAGAACUCUUCCAGCUGUGUCAGAUCUGACUCAUGUCCCUGCCGUGGGGCGAUGAGAAAUGCUCAUCAAAAGGGUGCUGCCCUGUGGGUGUCCCCAGUAAAAGGAAGUUAAUGCCUUCCUCCCUGCUUCUUUGCUGCAGCCAGGGGUCAGAUCCACACAGCCUCAGCCUUGGUUUCGUGUCCAGCUCUGGAGUCAGCACCUGGGACUAGCAAUUGCAGGGAAAGCCUUGUUUUAGCCUCCUUUAUUCUGGGGUCAGGAAGAAUGUUGGCUUAGCAUGAACAGAAAAUGCUGUUGAUCAACUGCU